CCAUCACGACAGGGGAGCGCUUCACGCGCUGAGAGUGCGGCACCGCCGCAGACCCUCGAACCUGCUCCGGUUAGCACCGGCGAAGGAAGUCGGGACAUCUCAGGC
rnacentral:ncRNA from 2 species